ensembl:rRNA 5S_rRNA 5S ribosomal RNA
AUCUACGGCCACACCAGCCUGAAAACACCUGGUCUCGGAAGCUAAGCAGGGGCGGACCUGGUUAGUACUUGGAUGAGAGGACUGCGUUCACAACUACUGCCAUCUCUUCUCUCGUGCCCUUUGUUCUUGUGCAUU